GUGCGAGUGGGGGAGUGGUUGAACCCGACAGACUGCAAAUCUGUUUUCCGUGAGGAGCGCGACAGUUCGAAUCUGUCCUCGUACUCA
rnacentral:tRNA from 1 species